UACAGAGGGUGCGAGCGUUAAUCGGAAUUACUGGGCGUAAAGCGUGUGUAGGCGGCUUCGCAAGUUGGAUGUGAAAUCCCACGGCUCAACCGUGGACGUGCAUCCAAAACUGCGUCGCUAGAGUCUCGGAGAGGAAGGUGGAAUGCUUGGUGUAGAGGUGAAAUUCGUAGAUAUCAAGCAGAACACCUGCGGCGAAGGCGGCCUUCUGGACGAUGACUGACGCUGAGACACGAAAGCGUGGGGAGCAAACAGG
rnacentral:rRNA from 1 species